AGCUUUGCUCAGUGGCAGUAUCGUAGCCAAUGAGGUUUAUCCGAGGCGCGAUUAUUGCUAAUUGGAAUACAGGUGUUCAAUACCUCCUUGACAUCUUCCUGCCUCUCAUUCUGAGUACUAGUACCUUCAGGGGGAUUUAAAACGAUGUUGGCGUAACCUUUACUCUAAAGG
rnacentral:snRNA from 1 species